UGGGGAAUAUUGGACAAUGGGCGCAAGCCUGAUCCAGCCAUGCCGCGUGAGUGAUGAAGGCCUUAGGGUUGUAAAGCUCUUUUAGCAGGGAAGAUAAUGACGGUACCUGCAGAAAAAGCCCCGGCUGACUUCAGUGCCAGCCAGCCGCCGGGUAAUACGAAGGGGCGUAGCGUUGCUCGGAAUUACUGGGCGUAAAGCGCACGUAGGCGGCUUCUUAAGUCGGGGGUGAAAUCCUGGAGCUCAACUCCAGAACUGCCUUCGAUACUGGGAAGCUCGAGUUCGGGAGAGGUGAGUGGAACUGCGAGUGUAGAGGUGAAAUUCGUAGAUAUUCGCAAGAACACCAGUGGCGAAGGCGGCUCACUUGGCCCGAUACUGACGCUGAGGUGCGAAAGCGUGGGGAGCAAACA
rnacentral:rRNA from 1 species